CUCUGCAUCGAUGAAGAACGCAGCGAAACGCGAUAGGUAAUGUGAAUUGCAGAAUUCCGUGAAUCAUCGAAUCUGUUGAACGCACCUUGCGCUCCAUGGUAUUCCGUGGAGCAUGCCUGUUUGAGUGCCGUGAAUUCUCUCUCCCCAAGCGGUUGCGAUUGCGCUGCUUGGCGGAUAGGUUGGAUGGGUGCCUGCCAGUGUCUCGUACACCGGCUCGCCCGAAAUUCAUUAGCGCCUUGGACACACUCUGAAAACCGCCCCCGAAGGGAGGGCGGCAGAGCGGAUGGAGGAAUUCCACCCGUCGACUAUACCAAACCUUGCCCAGGCAAGCGCAUGGCAUGAUACGUCAUUUGCUGUGUGCGCGUGCUGGGCCAAGGGGUUGAUGCGGUGCCUCUAGAGCUUUGUGGGUGUGUUGUGUGCUACGAACUAUGCGUGGAGGCACUUGUGCCUUGUGAACGCGUUCCCUUUUUCAUUUCUGGUCUCAAAUCAGGUAGGAUCACCCGCUGAACUUAAGCAUAUCAAUAGGCCGGAGG
rnacentral:rRNA from 1 species